rnacentral:tRNA from 1 species
GUCGGGGGCGGGCAGGGCCAGCGUGGUGGCAUGUGGCCGAUGCCGGAAGCCGAGUGCUGGUUGCAUCCCGCGGUGCGGGUCCGGGCGUCGGCG